UCUCUCUAUAUAUAUAUGCCUUGAAUGCAUAGUCAGACAAUCUAAUUUGCUGCCAAGUGUACUUACAGUCUUACAUUUGAAUUAAAAACAAGGGAGAAGUUCACAGUGCAGUGAAGAAGAGGGCGAAGAAAACACGCUCGUGUCUGCUGUGCGUACGAUCAGCGUUCGUGUGCUGCCAGUGUGACUUCGAUUGUGCCUAGUGUCAGGAUAAAUCGUCAUACUACAACAGGAAUAUUGAGGCUUGAAGUGAUUAACUGUGAUGGUUCAACGUUUCUUGUUCAUCCAGAGUUAAUAAAUACAUUUGGAAUGGUUGCACUCGAGGCACAAUAGAAUGAGAGUUGCUUUCUUGUGCAAAAUUAGUCAUACUAUGGAAACAAUGUAAUUGCUGCAACAAAUUUAUUCGUAUUGGAUGGAUCUGUUUAUGGGCUAGUGUAGGAUGAAACAAGAGUCAUAUAUUCCAGGCUCGACUAAGCACUACAUGGACAAAGGCACUACAGAAAGAAAGGCACUCGUGUAACAUUGCUGUGUGUGCAUGCUUUUCUGAUGAGAAUCGUUGCCGUCUGCACGAUUCUUAGUCGGCUGUGAAUCGUCAACUUACCCACGCUGUCACGUUAGUAAUCAAGGUAGUAGUCAUUCCAGCCAUAACCUCCUACAGACGCUGCACAUUGUACCCUUACCCCUAGACGUAAAUCGACAGCACAUCUGCCCCUACUGGAAGCAACCUCAAUGGCUGAAACCCUUGCAAGAUAUGUUUGUGACGUGGCACCUAGAACUGCAAUUUAUUAAUUUACUAGACCAAUUUCUAUUUUUUCUCUCUUUUGCUUACAUGUUCGGGAUGGUUUCAUCAUAUCUCUUUUCAGGAACACAGUCAAAGGGAAAAUGAAUGUUCUGCAAGCUAUACACACACCAUAAGAAAGUCAAUGGUCACCUCCGUGAAAAUAGGUCGUAUGAGUAAUCUCUAAGCUCAUCCCUACCAUAGACUGUUUGCAAGUUUACCAGGCAUUGUAUGGAGGGGUAUAGGCACUCUGCAGGAAAAGGCUUAUAGUUCAUGGUGCCAUAGUCAGCAGAACAGGUAUGCUAAAAUGUGCAUGGCAGCACAGCCUAGCUGACCUCUGUGUCACUUCUCUGAAUGACGAAGGCCUCUCCGAGCGAUCUGUUACCCCUAUCUUGCACUAGCCGAUCCCAACCUCCUCAUGGCUGAAAACACUGGCGGCAAAAGGUGGCAAAACCCGUAUAUGCGUUGAACUGAAGUUAGAGCAAAUAAACAGAUGUCCUGA
rnacentral:lncRNA from 1 species